CUUCUCUUUCGAUGAAACGGCCGCCUCGUCCAACUUUCUUCCAAGCACACAGCACCAAGAAGUGGAGUACUUGAAUUCAAAUCGUUUCUAGAAGGAACAAAAUACUUAUAUCUGUGAGUAAAAUUCCUGUUGUGGCUCUUGGUCCACUUUACAAUAGAAAAGAUCAUGGAGAGAC